GUGAGGACUGCUACAAAGAAGUCAGAGCGGCUCAGACAGGCAUGGAGGGAAGUCACAUCACUGUGACAUCAAGUGACAGACUCCAGCAGAUCACCGAUGUGACAGUAAGUGACACCAGUGGAAGAGGCAGAAAAAGAGGCUGGAUGGAGGCACCGAGAACUGCAGCUACUCCUCAGCUGGUGGUCUUUCACCUUCUCAGCCUUCUCUUCCUUGAUGCUGCAAGAAGAAAAAGACUGGCGAUCUGCGUCACCACCACCCGAUCAAAGCAC